AGAAAAAAAAAAAAAAAAAAAAAAAAGAAUUUAUGCAUGUGUUAUUUAUUGAAAUAUAUAGAAGGGAAAACCCAUGGGGGACCAAGAGGACUGCAGACUGGGACACAGAAAAAAAAAAAAAAAAAAAAAAGUAUUUAUGCAUGUUGUUUAUUUAUUGAAAAUAUAAAGGAGGGAAAACCAACUGGAGGACCAAGAGGACUGCAGACUGGACACAGAAAAAAAAAAAAAAAAAAAAGUAUUUAUGCAUGUGUUUAUUUAUUGAAAUAUAUAGGAGGGAAAACCCAAUGGAGGACCAAGAGGACUGCAGACUGGACACAGAAAAAAAAAAAAAAAAAAAAAAAAGCAUUUAUGCAUGUGUUUAUUUAUUGAAAUAUAUAGGAGGGAAAACCCAAGGGGGACCAAGAGGACUGCAGACUGGCCACAGAAAAAAAAAAAAAAAAAAAAAAAAGUAUUCAUGCAUGUGUUUAUGUAUUGAAAUAUAUAGGAGGGAAAACCCAAGGGGGGGACCAAGAGGACUGCAGACUGGACACAGAAAAAAAAAAAAAAAGUAUUCAUGCAUGUGUUUAUGUAUUGAAAUAUAUAGGAGGGAAAACCCAAGGGGGACCAAGAGGACUGCAGACUGGACACAGAAAAAAAAAAAAAAAAAAAGUAUUUCAUGCAUGUGUUUAUGUAUUGAAAUAUAUAGGAGAGAAAACUCACUGGAGGCCCAAGAGGACUGCAGACUGGACACAGAAAAAAAAAAAAAAAAAAAAAAAAAAAAAGUAUUUAUGCAUGUGUUUAUUUAUUGAAUAUAUAGGAGGAAAACUCACUGGAGGCCAAGAGGACUGCAGACUGGACACAGAAAAAAAAAAAAAAAAAAAAAUUUAUGCAUGUGUUUAUUUAUUGAAAUAUAUAGGAGGGAAAACCCAAUGGGGCCAAGAGGACUGCAGACUGGACACAGAAAAAAAAAAAAAAAAAAAAAAAGUAUUCAUGCAUGUGUUUAUUUAUUGAAAUAUAUAGGAGGGAAAACCAAGGGGGGACCAAGAGGACUGCAGACUGGACACAGAAAAAAAAAAAAAAAAAAGUAUUCAUGCAUGUGUUUAUUUAUUGAAAUAUAUAGGAGGGAAAACCCAAGGGGGACCAAGAGGACUGCAGAAGAAAAAAAAAAAAAAAAAAAAAGUAUUCAUGCAUGUGUUUAUUUAUUGAAAUAUAUAGGAGGGAAAACCCAAGGGGGACCAAGAGGACUGAAAAAAAAAAAAAAAAAAAAAAAAAAAAAAAAAAAAAAAAAAAAAAAAAAAAAAAAAAAAAAAAAAAAAAAAAAAAAAAAAAAAAAAAAAAAAAAAAAAAAAAAAAAAAAAAGUAUUCAUGCAUGUGUUUAUGUAUUGAAAUGUAGAUACUUUUAUGAGGAAUGUGUCCGUGUACUUACAUUUUUCAAAAGAUAAUCUUCAAUGGUAAGACUUGUUUUAUUCGCGCCUCUUCUGGUGUAGCAUAUAACGUGAGUUUUAUUUAGGCAUAUCAGAUGCAUAGCGUGUGUAAUGUGUAGGCCAUUUCAUUCCGUUCUUGCAAUGUGAAUAAUUCAUUUCAAUAUGCUUAUAUCCCUUUUGUGCGCGCUUGUGCGUUUAACGGGGCUUGUUUGUGUGAGCCAGUGCAUUUAUCAUUCAUCUGUUGAUGCUCGAGUUUAAUAAAGGCAGGCUAUUCUUAAGAAACGUAUGUAAA
rnacentral:lncRNA from 1 species